UGAUUCACCUGGACUGCACUGCUGGCUGUUAGCCGGCAGUCCCUAGGUUAUCUCCCAUAUGGGGUAAACCUGUUUGUACAUAUUUGUAACUUUAAGCCUAAAGCCUGCCUUCAGGGAUCACACUGUGCUCUGCUUGAUCGUGAGUAAAAUUACUUUUUGUUACUCACGAAUAAGACUGUUGUGUUUUUAUUUUUUUAGGAGGUAUAAAAGGGGUCUUACCAGGAAUAAUAGAACAGAUCUCAAUCUGGGCAAGCCAGACUGAAUUGCAUAUUAUUUUAAGAGACUCACACGAGUCUGCAACCAGCCUUCUUGCUGUAUAAAAGGGGGAAUGCACUCUGCUGCAUAAAGAAGCUUGCUAGAGUGAGUUAGGAAGGAUAAUAUUAAUCAAUAGAUCCUCUCCUGUUACCCACAACACUCCCACAGUUUUUAGCUUCAGUUGUGUUAUGCGAGGAUGGGGGGUGGUGGCAUGAGAUUAUGGCACUGGAUUGAAAUAACUUGAAAAUAGAUCCAAAUAUCCCUUCUAUGCUGUUCCCCCCCACCCAGGCAGGAGUGGAAUAACUCCAUCUUCUGGGAACACUGCUGUCAACCCAGCCCAAAAUGAGCCUCACCGGUUCCAAUACUAACCACUCUAAAGCAGAUGUGGAGAGUCCAUGGCCCUUCCAUAUGUUGCUGGACUCCAGCUCCCAUCAGCCCCAACCAUCACUACCAAUGACUAGGAAUGAUGGUGGCUGUAGUCACACAACAGCUGGAGCUCAAGGUGUUCCCCACCCCUGCUUACUCCAGUGUAACACCAUCGAAUGUGUAUGAUCUGUGUGCACAAGAACUUCUGAAGCCCCCUGAGAUUAACACCUAUCCCUACAGUUUUCAAUAUAAUUUAGUUUCAAGGAAGUGUGCUUAGGAAUGCUGUUCUAUCUUUGAGUUUUGAAAAAAACAAAAACAUGGCGAAACGAUCCUUUCUUUCUUUUCCUUUUGCAGGUUUGCAGGAAGUUGCUUUGUGUUCCAUCUCCAGCACUGGUAGGAAGUGACUCUUCAAGGUUUGGAGCAGAAGUCUUUCCACCCCUACCUAGAGAUGCUGGGGAUUGAACCCAGAAUCGAUAGCAUGCAGAGCCUCUUCUCUCCCACUGAACUGUGGCCCUUCGCUAACUUAGCUGCAAGGAAGGCUCACACCUUUGGAAAGCAGAAAUCAAUGGUUUGGCGCAGAUGAACCUCAUGGUCCCACCCAACUCUACAGUUCUAUGAUUCUAUGGUUUGGCCUCCACAAGAUGAUGGGUCGAGCUAGGAGUCUGCGAUACUCUUUGGAAAUAGGACCUCGGUCCCACUGACGGAACGGGCUUCCUGGGAAAGCGUUUUCACGACCUGGGAAGCUCAGCCACGCUGGUGCCUCCCUGGCGUUGGGCGGAGAGGGACUCAAGAGGCUGUUCCCUCGGGGUACGCCCCUGGAUGUUUGAGGCGCGAAGGAAAGCCCUACACACCCUCUGCAAAAGAAGAGAAGGGGACCCAUUGAGACUGAAUCCUGGGUAGCUGUGCCCCCGAAGUGGUUCCCAAACCGGGAGAAGAAAACAAACAAUGAAUAAAUUCCUGCAUUCUCGUGAAAAGGCUGAGGAGCGAGGGAGGGCUCGAGGCGAAAAGCAAGCGAGCCCCGGACAAGCGCUGCGGAUGUCCCUGCGAGGAUUCACUUUGUGUGCUCACAGAAGGGCGGAGGGGCUAGCGAGGGCGGCUGCUGGUCCCCGCAUACCACCCAAGAUGUUAUUCACGGCGAACAAUUACCAUUAUCUGUCCCCACUUUG
rnacentral:lncRNA from 1 species